rnacentral:lncRNA from 1 species
AGAAACUCCAAUUCUGUUCUUUUUUAUGAUUAUCUCAUUCUUGGGCCUGUAUAUUUCCUCAUAAAUUUUGGAAGCAGAUUGUCAAUUUCUGAAACAAAAUAAACUGAUGAUAGUUUUAUUUGGAUUAUAUUGAUCUACAGAUCAGUUUGUAGAGAAAGUCACUUAUCUUUUCUAUGUCCUAGAUCCGUCUUCUGAAAAAACAAGACAAAAAUACUCACUGAGCAAUUAUGAGUGUUACAUCAGACAGUGUAUUUGCAAACUGGAAAAAAAUAACCCACUAUAGAAAUGCUGGAUAUUUGUUACAAAACGAGAAGCAACACGUGCAAGGGCUGGGGAGAAAUCCGCCUGCAGCAGAUUUAAAAAGGUUGCAGCAAAGCUGGAGUGUGGUCGCUGUUGGCUCCUCCCCUCACGCUGGCUGGGAAGGCACAGGCGGGGGUUCAGGGGAGAGAAGAGGCCACUUUGCAGGGACUCCCCGUGUCAGCACUGGCGUCACAUCCCAGCGGCCAUCACAGCUCCUUAUGACAUUGUCUAAGUGUUUGCCUUCUCACGUCUUCCACUCUGUAGCCGGGAAACUGAGCAUAGAAUCCAUUAUGACUUAUUUUUCAAGUACGCCUGCUGCGCGUCAGGGCCAGGUCCGCGUGGAUCUGCCUUUCCACGUGUUCUGCAUAGAACGUCACACCUGGAGAGGAGAUGACCAUGCACCACCAACGGGGAAAGGACUUCUUCCAUUGACCAUGCCUCCUCGGUCCCCUGGAGCGUGUGCUGAGUUAAGCUGAGGCCGUUUAUGUGUGUUUGCGUGACUAGGGCAUGGAUUGGAGGCAGUCUCCCUUCCCCAGAGGCAGCCCGUUGGAAAACAGGAGGGUCUGAGACUUCACGCUCUGCGACCCUCAGCCCUGACUCUCCUUUCAGAGGCUUUCUGUGGACCCCUUGAACAAAUACCUUUUGCCAAAGAGGAAGCCCCAGGCUGAAACAGAGAAGCACUGGGACCCUACAGCACUUGCUUUUCGUGGGGCAUUCUCAUCCCUUCUCUCUGCCUCUUCAGGGGCUGUCCACAGAGCCCCGCGCACAGGGGGCAGUGUUGGCAGAGCCCCUGACAUUGUCCCAAGUGCCACAGGCCUGUCUCCCAAGGGCCGGGGCGCCCCAGUGGCCCCCAGCACUCGGCCCUUCCCGUGCACCGAGAGGAAGCGCAGGAGCGGGAGCACCGCCUGCCCUGCGCUGAGGGGAACCAGACGGCAGCCCCGCCGCCGCGGCCCGCCCUGCCCAGCAGCAGCCAGAAGGCCGGUCCCUGGGGGGGAGGAAGGAAGACAGCGGAGAGAAUCAGACAAAGGAAGACCACCAUAAACCAGCAGCAUGUCUGUAAUCAGGAGGGCCCUUUGUUGAGAGCUGGUCUAAACAAGUUGUGAUCCCCUGGAAGGGGGCCAUAAACCGAAGCCAAAAUAAAGGUGUUUACAGCAAGGGAGACGGACGGGCUGCGGCCUCGUUUGGCCGCGAUGGGGGGGUACUGGUGGCCCUAAGGCCCCGCCUGCGCUCGGGGGACGCGUCCGAACAUCACAGAACAUCACAGACGCAAGCGCAGGGGAAGGGGGAGGCGCGGGAUGGGGGCGCCCAGGGACCCUCCCACAUUCCGGCCUGGGGGAGAGAGAGGGCAGGGUGCCAGGUCUGUGUGACAGCUGGAGAUUCAUGGCCAGAGGCCUGGAGAUCUUCGCCCAGCUUCUCCACUCCUCUACAAAGUCCUUUAUAAUGGACUCGAGGGAGUCACACUCCUAAGAGGGUUUGAGGGCAGUUGUUUCUUAAAGUAAUGCCUCUUAGGCCCAACUUAUCAGCCUGGAAAUGUGUGAGGAGGAAGUUUCACCCCAGGAUCCACCUUCGUCAGGGAAGCUUCGUGCCGUCUGUGAGCCAUGAGCAGAUGGGCAGCUGUUGGUGAAGGUGAGGCCUGAAAUGUCCCAAGGACCUCGUCCCUGAGCAGACCUUUCACCACUGCCUCUCCUCUGCUCUGUUUGCCAGUGUGGAACACAUGAACAUUUCACAGUCCUUCAUUCACUCAACAAACAUAAUGAGCAUUGACUCUAGGCCAGCCAGCCAGGUCAGAGGCUGCCCAGGUAUAGCACACGGUCCCAUCCUAGAGGAGGCAGCUGUAAACACAUAGGUACUCCUGUUCUUUAGAAGAGUAAUUCUUCCCAAGAAACCCAUGUCUGCUGGAAUGUGAUACUGCUGGAGAAUGGCAGUGCCAAGGAAGGCUAACAUGAUUCUUAGAAGGACAUGGUGCUGACGUCUCACUGUGUAAUCUGUUGUUUAUGCUCAGGAGGAAAGACUGCCAGACUUUUUUGAAAAAAGGGGUCACAUUCAUAUGGUAAUCAGAGGACAUGGAAGAUGCUUCAGGGCCUUUUUCCCUUUAAAAAAUUUGUUGUGACUCUUUAGUGGGCAAUGUUUGUCGAAGUGGCGCAACUGAGCUGGGUCCUCGCAAAUGCAGCUGAAAACGCCUCUCCCGACAGUCACAGACUCUCCCUCGACUCUUGGAUCAGCCUUGCCUGUGGAAGAGGCGAGCUUUGUUCUGUAACACCCAGUAUGCUCUCCUCAUGGGGAGAACAGGGAAGGAAAUUAGCCAGGAAGCCUGUCCAGUCCUUCAAACGCCUUUAUUUUCUAUAAUCUGUGAUCUCCUUAGGACUGUUUCCUAUCCGUAAGAUUGGCUAGUUUAUGAUCUCAGAGUUCCCUUCUAGCCAACAACAAAACAAAACAGGCAACUUUGACCUACUUUGCCUCAUCUGUAAUGGGCUCUGGUAUCUAAGCAAUGCAUCUCAGCUGAGCUAAGACUGUUAUCAGGUCCCUCUUGGAAACCAGACUGUUGUAUCUCGAGAUUGCCUUUCCCCUGAGUAAAAGGAAAUCACAGGUGAGGGUUCUUCUGCAAGAAGAACAGUUUCAAAGCCUCUGAUUCUUGCCUGCUGGAAUAGCACGUGGUAGGACUGGCGCUGGGAGCAGGUCUAGACCAGUCCCAGCGGGCAGGAGACAGCACUCACUCAUCUGCAGGAUCCCAGCUCGUUCAACAAAAAAGCGAGAGUGGCAGAUGGAGGACAUGUUUUCAUCUUGUUGCAUCUUUAAACAGAUGGACCCUUUUUGAAAGACAUAAGCCCUGUUAUCAUUAAGAAUUAGAUCGUAGGAAAAAUAAAACUUAAAAAAUUCCAUACUUGACCAAUAAAGGGACUAACGCAGUAAUUCACACAGGGUUAAAAAGGACAUUUUUAGUCAUUUGAGAAAGCAUUACAAAAUGUGUAAAUCAAACUUACGUAUCCUUGGACAUGCCCUUUGAUAUUGGAAUCUGAGUUUUAUGAUCUGCCCGUAAUUACAGUUUUUGGUUAAGUUUUUAAGGAAGAGAAAAUUAAACACUUUAAGAGCCAACAGCUUGUUUCUCAAGACGUGAGCCAGGGCGGAUUUUUGUGGCUGCACUAGGCUUUCAGUCCCCAGUGGCUGGCACUCUCUUCCUAAUUCUCAAAGCGCUUCCAGCCCUUCCUCUUUACGGCGACUGUGCUUCCGGCAGGGCCUGGGUGUAGACCUGCCCGCCCUCUUGCUGUGGACACGCUGUGCGGUCACAGCUUG